rnacentral:rRNA from 1 species
AUUGAACGCUGGCGGCAGGCCUAACACAUGCAAGUCGAACGAGUGGCGGACGGGUGAGUCAUGUCUGGGAACCUGCCUGAUGGAGGGGGAUCACUACUGGAAACGGUAGCUACUACCGCAUAACAUCGGCUGAGCCCAGAUGGGAUUAGCGAGGAGGUGGGGUAAAGGCUCACCUAGGCGACGAUCCCUAGCUGGGCUGAGAGGCUGACCAGCCACACUGGAACUGCUACACGGUCCAGACUCCGACGUGAGGCAGCAGUGGGGAAUAGUGUACAAUGGACGCAAGCCUGAUGCAGCCAUGCCGCGUGUAUGAAGAAGGCCUUCGGGUUGUAAAGUACUUUCAGCAGAGAGGCGUUACCCGCAGAGGAAGCACCGGCUAACAACGUGCCAGCCGCCGCGGUAAUUC